CCUACGGGGGGCAGCAGUGAGGAAUUUUGGUCAAUGGGCGCGAGCCUGAACCAGCCAAGUCGCGUGAGGGAAGACGGUCCUAUGGAUUGUAACCCUCUUUUGUCGGGGAGCAAAAGACGCCACGCGUGGCGUUCCGAGAGUACCCGAAGAAACAGCAUCGGCUAACUCCGUGCCAGCAGCCGCGGUAAUACGGAGGAUGCGAGCGUUUUCCGGUUUUAGUGGGUUAAAAGGGUGCGCAGGAGGAAGAUCAAGGCAGCGGUAAAAUUGAGAGGCUCAACCUCUUCGAGCCGUUGAAACUGGUUUUCUUGAGUGAGUGAGAAGUAUGCGGAAUGCGUGGUGUAGCGGUGAAAUGCAUAGAUAUCACGCAGAACUCCGAUUGCGAAGGCAGCAUACCGGCGCUCAACUGACGCUCAUGCACGAAAGUGUGGGUAUCGAACAGGAUUAGAUACCCCGGUAGUC
rnacentral:rRNA from 1 species